GAUGAACGCUGGCGGCGUGCCUAAUACAUGCAAGUCGAGCGAACGGACGAGAAGCUUGCUUGUCUGAUGUUAGCGGCGGACGGGUGAGUAACAUGUGGAUAACCUACCUAUAAGACUGGGAAAACGUCGGGAAACCGGAGCUAAUACCGGAUGAUAUUUUGAACCGCAGGGUUCAAAAGAGAAAGACGGUCUUGCUGUCACUUAUAGAGGGAUCCGCGCUGGUUUAUCUAGUUGGUAAGGUAAAGGCUUACCAAGGCAAGUAUGCAUAGCCGACCAGAGAGAGUGGUCGACCGCAUUGGAAGGAGGACACGUAAAAGACUACUGCGAGAGGCAGAAGACGGGAAACUUCCGCAGUAGGCGAGAACAUGACGGAACAGCGGCACGUAAGAGAUAAAGGUCUUCUGAGCGUGAAAAUCUGUUUUUGGGGAUGAACAUAUGUGUAAGUAAAUGUGCACAUCAUGACGGUACCUAAUCAGAAAGCCACGGCUAACUACGUG
rnacentral:rRNA from 1 species